rnacentral:rRNA from 1 species
UACGUAGGGCGCAAGCGUUGUCCGGAAUUAUUGGGCGUAAAGAGCUCGUAGGCGGCUUGUCGCGUCUGUUGUGAAAGCCCGGGGCUUAACCCCGGGUCUGCAGUGGAUACGGGCAGGCUAGAGGCAGGUAGGGGAGAACGGAAUUCCCGGUGUAGCGGUGAAAUGCGCAGAUAUCGGGAGGAACACCAGUAGCGAAGGCGGCUCGCUGGGCCAUUCCUGACGCUGAGACGCGAAAGCUAGGGGAGCGAACAGG